GGGCAGGUGGCUGAGUGGCCGAAGGCGUCACGUUGGAAACGUGAAGAGGUUCUUAGCGAACCUCCGAGGGUUCAAAUCCCUCCCUGUCCG
rnacentral:tRNA from 1 species